UACGGGGGGGGCAAGCGUUGUUCGGAAUUACUGGGCGUAAAGGGCUCGUAGGCGGCCAACUAAGUCGGACGUGAAAUCCCCAGGCUCAACCUGGGAACUGCGUCCGAUACUGGAUGGCUUGAAUCCGGGAGAGGGAUGCAGAAUUCCAGGUGUAGCGGUGAAAUGCGUAGAUAUCUGGAGGAAUACCGGUGGCGAAGGCGGCAUCCUGGACCGGCAUUGACGCUGAGGAGCGAAAGUGUGGGGAGCGAACAGG
rnacentral:rRNA from 1 species